GGGACUUUAGUCUAGUGGUAUGAUUUCUGCUUUGGGUGCAGGAGGUCCCGAGUUCGAACCUCGGAAGUCCCC